UACAGAGGGGGCAAGCGUUGUUCGGAAUUACUGGGCGUAAAGGGCGUGUAGGUGGUUUCGUAAGUCUGGCGUGAAAUUUUUCGGCUUAACCGGGAAAGGUCGUCGGAUACUGCGGAACUAGAGGACGGUAGAGGCGUGUGGAAUUCCGGGUGUAGUGGUGAAAUGCGUAGAGAUCCGGAGGAACACCAGUGGCGAAGGCGACACGCUGGGCCGUACCUGACACUGAUGCGCGACAGCAUGGGGAGCAAACAGG
rnacentral:rRNA from 1 species